AUGGAACCCAAUCUAGACCUUAUCAUACUUGCUCUUCUCCACGGCUCAUUCAUCGCCGGCUUUCUUUUUCUUGUUACCUCUGUCAUGUUGACGGCUCUCUUGCUUGCAUUCUCCCUCGGUCUCGUAUCAAUUCUCAUAAAUGAUUUGUGCUACAUUUCCUUGCUUUUUUCUUUCUACUUUGAAACAAUUCUGAAGCAUAAUCUUGAACUGGGUUUUGUUCUAAUUGCCUUCAAACUAUUGCAUCAUGCCGUUCGCAUCAUCUUGGCUUUAAAGCCUUUCCUUGAACGUAAGAUUUCCCAGCUCAAAGCAAAAGCAAGACAUGUGAUGAAUCUAAUUGAUGGCCUGAGACUUUCUUAA
rnacentral:lncRNA from 1 species